GUUGGGAUUUCUAGUGUUUCUUGUGAUUAUUCUGUUGCUUUCUCAAUGGCAUAGUUCACUACUAUGGAUAUUAACGAUUUCAGCAUGUGCGUUUUUUUCCAUAUACUAAGACGAACUUAGAAUGUGCACACACACAUGCCCCACAACCUAUUAAAGGUAUAAAUUAUUGAAACUUGAGAUGGCAUUGUCUGAAUUGGUAGAUUCCAGCUACUAGGUGGACGUGAAUUCAUACGAAUGGGAUCAAGGUAACAAGUUAAUUCCAUCAGAAGGCCUCAGUUCAAGGCAUCUUGGUGCAACUUUGAUGAUGGACUUAGAUUGAUUGGGACUCAUAUUGUCAAUUGGUUAUAUUCUUUUUCGUUUCUUGCAAUCGUAUUCAUAAGCUAUCACGAGACUCAAAUCAUUUUUUGUUAUAUUCUUGGCCCAUAGGCCAGCUUGUUAGAGGAAGGGAGCUUUAUAUGGUCUAGAAAAGGCAGGGAGAACCUUCUGUAUGCCACUGAUGCUGCUGAGAAGUUCAGUGAAAGGUAGCAAUUUUCACUAAUUGGUUGUCUUUUCUUUUAUUGUGCCAUCAGAUAAUUGGAAAUUAUCAGUUUCUAUUUCAUACUCCCUCCGUCCCAGGCCAAUAGGCCCAGUUCAUUUCGGCACGGAGAUUAAGAAACUCAAUUUUUAGUAGGUAAAUGGUGUGGUCCACCAAUAAUUAAGGAUUUAAAUGUUCCCUUAUUUUUCCUUAAUCUCAUUUGAUUACUUUAAAUGCAGAAAUUGGGAGCUGCGAAAUUGGCAUCUGGAACAGUGAUAUCCUCGAAGCCAUAAUCGUAGAGCCAAUUCGUGUUCUCAGGUGAAACCAUCUCCGAUCAAAGCCAGAAGGUGCUUCUCCGGCGUUAGGGCAAAACGGAA
rnacentral:lncRNA from 1 species